rnacentral:lncRNA from 1 species
UUUAUCUUAAAUUUUAACUUUAAGUGGCUUUAAUAAGUCGUCCUAGAUUUGCACCAUCUCUGUCCCGAUCGAGUUCUGUCGUCGCAGCCUCCAUGGCCAGAGCUCGAGAUAGUGGAAUGGUAGCCUCCGUCACGUGUGAUAGCAGCAACAAUGUGGUCUUGGUGGAGAAGAUUUUUCAGAGCAACAACGGACAGAGCCGUCGAGGGAGAUUUAGGGUUUCGAUUAAGACAAUGAUUUGGAUUAUCAUGUGGAAUGAAUCGACGAUUUUAGCACCCUUGAAUGGUUGAGAUGACCGAACUCUGAGCGGCAAGACAUGAGGCUAAACAUCUCAACCUCGGUUAACUUGAUUUCGAGUCUGCUAAAAUUGGUCCGUGAAUUAGAGGUGGCCGAACUACGGAGAUACGCAUCAGGAUCGAGAGUUUCAAGAGGUAUUCUUCAAUAGAUCAAUUGGGUCUCUGUAUUAUUUUUUUUUUCAUUUUAUUCUCCUUUUUCUCUCUCCCUACUGUUUGAUGAGAGAGAGGGGGAGAUGGGGUUGAUUUUUAUUUUUUUAUUAUCUAAUCUCUCUGCUCUACUUUGGUUUGGUGUUAAGGUUGCAUUUUUCAAUUUCUUUAUCCUUGUCACAUUUUGGUGCAUUUUCAGCUAUACCAUGUUAAUGGCGGUGGUGCUACGACGGUGUUAAUGGAGGUGAUGUUACAGUAGUAUAAAUGGCGGUGGUGCAUGAAAUGAAUUUUAUGGUAAAUUCUUUUUAUUAGUUUCGUUUGUCUGUCAACAUUUUAUUGAUAACGAAGGGACCAUGAACUUAACCGGAUUCAGAAAAAAAGAGAAAAAUUUUUAAAAUUUUUAUUUUUUAUUUUGUAUUUUUAAAAAGAGAAAUAUUUUUAUUUUAUAGUUUUGUUUUUUUUAUUUGUAUUUUUAAUUGUGAAAUAUUGUUAUUUUGUAUUUUUUAAGAGAGAAAUAACUUUUUUAUUUUUGUAUUUUGAAAAAGAGAAAAAUAUUUUUAUCUUUUACUUUUCAAAUUUUUUUAUUUGUAUUUUGAAAAGAGAGAAAUACUUUUAUUUU